UUGUGUUUCAUUGACACUGCAGGAGUUUGUCAUGAUGGCUGAUGAGGUCUCCAUAUCGCCCACACAGGCAACAGAAGAACAAGUCAGAGUUUUGUCAGACUUUUAACUCAAGAGAGGAAUCUUUUCACGUGUACAUCAUUUUUAUGUCAAAUCAUAUCCUGAGUAUCUCCGUUAUACUUCCUCCAUUCUCCCUUGCUGACAUUAAGGUACAUUGACCCUGCUCUGACCUUGCAGACAUUUGAUGGGUAACCCUAAUUUACAUUCACAGUCAAGAGGCAGAAAGGACCAGAUGGGUCAAAGUGCCGGUGGAGACUGAUGAUAGGGAUGAUGUGAAGACAACAUUAAGGAAGUUGAGGAAAGACCUGAUAAUCUUCUCCUUUUCAGUCUAGCAUUUACAUGUAAAUGUAAAUGUCUAGCAAAGCCAUCUCCACUGCAAAUCUCAUGCCAUGAUCUCCGCUAUAAGACUGAAUAAAAGAUCAUCAACAAUGGCACGGCAGUAGUCUCCUAUUUAAGACGAGACAAGGCAUUCCUUUUAUCCUAUG